rnacentral:rRNA from 1 species
UACGGAGGAUGCAAGCGUUAUCCGGAAUGAUUGGGCGUAAAGCGUCCGCAGGUGGCUAUGUAAGUCUGCUGUUAAAGAGUGAGGCUCAACCUCAUAAGAGCAGUGGAAACUACAUGGCUAGAGUGCGUUCGGGGCAGAGGGAAUUCCUGGUGUAGCGGUGAAAUGCGUAGAUAUCUGGAGGAACACCGGUGGCGAAGGCGGCAUCCUGGACCAAUAUUGACGCUGAGGAGCGAAAGCCAGGGGAGCAAACGGG